rnacentral:rRNA from 1 species
AGUGAACGCUGGCGGUAGGCCUAACACAUGCAAGUCGAACGGCAGCACAGUAAGAGCUUGCUCUUACGGGUGGCGAGUGGCGGACGGAUGAGGAAUACAUCGGAAUCUACUUUUUCGUGGGGGAUAACGUAGGGAAACUUACGCUAAUACCGCAUACGACCUACGGGUGAAAGCAGGGGAUCUUCUGACCUUGCGCGAUUGAAUGAGCCGAUGUCGGAUUAGCUAGUUGGCGGGGUAAAGGCCCACCAAGGCGACGAUCCGUAGCUGGUCUGAGAGGAUGAUUCGCCCCCCUGGAACUGAGACACGGUCCCGACUCCUACGGGAGGCCGCAGUGGGGAAUAUUGGACAAUGGGCGGAAGGCCGGUCCCACCAAACCGCGUGGGUGAAGAAGGCCUUCGGGUUGGAAAGCCCCUUUGUUGGGAAAGAAAAGCAGCCGGUUAAAACCCCGCUGUUCUGACGGUAACCAAAGAAUAAGCACCGGCUAACUUCGUG